rnacentral:lncRNA from 1 species
CAAAAGAAUAAAAGGAAAAGCUUAACGAAUAUGAAUAUAUAUUUCGUCCUUGGUGUCCCCAUGAAUAAUGUUAAAUGGGAUAGGAAGACAAUAAUGUGUUUCUGAUGGUAAACAACCUUCACUUCCAAUCGAGAGGUUGUGUGUUCGAGUCUCCCCAAGAGUAAGGUGGGAAGUUCUUGGAGGGAAGGAUGCCGGGGGUCUAUUUGGAAACAGCCUCUCUACCCAGGGUAGGGGUAAGGUCUG